rnacentral:rRNA from 1 species
UACGAAGGGGCUAGCGUUGCUCGGAAUCACUGGGCGUAAAGGGCGCGUAGGCGGCCGAUUAAGUCGGGGGUGAAAGCCUGUGGCUCAACCACAGAAUUGCCUUCGAUACUGGUUGGCUUGAGACCGGAAGAGGACAGCGGAACUGCGAGUGUAGAGGUGAAAUUCGUAGAUAUUCGCAAGAACACCAGUGGCGAAGGCGGCUGUCUGGUCCGGUUCUGACGCUGAGGCGCGAAAGCGUGGGAGCAACAGG